rnacentral:misc_RNA from 1 species
GAGGAAUCGUACAAGGACAGCACACUGAUCAUGCAGCUUCUCCGAGACAAUCUGACUCUGUGGACCUCCGAUAUCAACGAGGAAGCCGGGGAUGAGAUUAAGGAAGCCUCAAAAGCAGUAGAGGGACAGUAAUGGACCGCGAGGGACAGUAAUGAACCGUGGUAAACCGCUGUGCUGUUGGAGUCUAUGUUUUUUAUUUUUGUGUCCGCUGGAGUUAUAGUUAGGAUAUUUAUGCUCAGCAAACCUAUUGUGUGGCUUUUGAAUGUACCUCCCAUCAUUUUUAUUGUGGAUUGUUGUUCUAGAUGAACAAGGUUUUGUUCCUAUGUAAUACUUCAUUUCAGUUAUAU